rnacentral:rRNA from 1 species
UACACUCCUACGGGAGGCAGCAGUGGGGAAUAUUGCACAAUGGGCGCAAGCCUGAUGCAGCCAUGCCGCGUGUAUGAAGAAGGCCUUCGGGUUGUAAAGUACUUUCAGCGGGGAGGAAGGCAAUACGGUUAAUAACCGUGUUGAUUGACGUUACCCGCAGAAGAAGCACCGGCUAACUCCGUGCCAGCAGCCGCGGUAAUACGGAGGGUGCAAGCGUUAAUCGGAAUUACUGGGCGUAAAGCGCACGCAGGCGGUCUGUCAAGUCGGAUGUGAAAUCCCCGGGCUCAACCUGGGAACUGCAUUCGAAACUGGCAGGCUUGAGUCUUGUAGAGGGGGGUAGAAUUCCAGGUGUAGCGGUGAAAUGCGUAGAGAUCUGGAGGAAUACCGGUGGCGAAGGCGGCCCCCUGGACAAAGACUGACGCUCAGGUGCGAAAGCGUGGGGAGCAAACAGGAUUAGAUACCCCAGUAGUCCC